GAAGGGGGCUAGCGUUGCUCGGAAUGACUGGGCGUAAAGGGCGCGCAGGCGGUUUGGACAGUCAGAUGUGAAAUUCCCGGGCUUAACCUGGGGGCUGCAUUUGAUACGUUCAGACUAGAGUGUGAAAGAGGGUUGUGGAACUCCAAGUGUAGAGGUGAAAUUCGUAGAUAUUUGGAAGAACACCGGUGGCGAAGGCGGCGACCUGGUUCACAACUGACGCUGAGGCGCGGAAGCGUGGGGAGCAAACAGGAUUAGAUACCCUGGUAGUCCACGCUGUAAACGAUGUAUGCUAGAUGUUAGGCAACCUAGUUGUUUAGUGUCGGAGCUAACGCGAUAAGCAUACCGCCUGGGGAGUACGGCCGCAAGGUUG
rnacentral:rRNA from 1 species